AAAUAUAAUACUGUGGAUUCAUUUAUUUUCGUGGGUAUCAAUUUUCGUGGAUAGAGAAAAAAAGACGUUUCGUGGUAUACGUAAAUUCGUGGAUCGCUGAUUACAACAACAAAAAAUUAGAUACGUAAUUCGUGGAUUUCUUUUUGAUUUAGGAGAUCAUAUAACAUCCUUGGUUUGAUCAAUAAUAAAAUUUGUAAGGGUUCCGGGGAACCCAGUGUCUCGCCUACUCUUUCUGUUUAUCACAAGCUCAACAAAAAUGAGGAAACAAAUCAAUAAAAUAUUCCUGUUGAUACUAUCUUUUGAUUGUAAGAAGCUUCUGUCCAAGUUUGGUAAAAAUCCAGGAUAGUUUAUGUAAUAAAUGUUUAAAAAAUUUAACUGCACACUGAAUGUAAUGUUAACUAGAAGAAAACAAAAUUUCCUUCUAGAUACUAGCUUUUGAUCAUAAACAAGCUUCUUUCCAAGUUUGGUACAAAUCCAAAAUAGUAUAAGAAAGUUAUUAAAAU
rnacentral:lncRNA from 1 species